rnacentral:rRNA from 1 species
UACGUAGGGGGCAAGCGUUGUCCGGAAUCAUUGGGCGUAAAGAGCGUGUAGGCGGUCCGUUAAGUCGGCUGUGAAAGUCCAAGGCUCAACCUUGGGAUGCCGGUCGAUACUGCCGGACUAGAGUUCGGAAGAGGCGAGUGGAAUUCCCGGUGUAGCGGUGAAAUGCGCAGAUAUCGGGAGGAACACCGGUGGCGAAGGCGGUUCUCUGGGCCUUACCUGACACUGAGGAGCGAAAGCGUGGGGAGCGAACAGG